UUGGAGGGCAAGUCUGGUGCCAGCAGCCGCGGUAUUCCAGCUCCAGUAGCGUAUAUUUAAGUUGUCGCAGUUAAAAAGCUCGUAGUUGAAUUUCGGGGUCAGUAGGUUGGUCAUGCCACUGGUAUGUACUGGUCUCACUGAUUCCUCCUUCCUGAUGAACUGUAAUGCCAUUAAUUUGGUGUUGCAGGGAAUCUGGACUGUUACUUUGAAAAAAUUAGAGUGUUUAAAGCAGGCUAACGCCUGAAUACAUUAGCAUGGAAUAAUGAAAUAGGACGUUCGAUCCUAUUUUGUUGGUUUCUAGGAUUGACGUAAUGAUUAAUAGGGAUAGUUGGGGGCACUAGUAUUCAAUUGUCAGAGGUGAAAUUCUUGGAUUUAUUGAAGACUAACUACUGCGAAAGCAUUUGCCAAGGAUGUUUUCAUUAAUCAAGAACGAGAGUUAGGGGAUCGAAGACGAUCAGAUACCGUCGUAGUCUUAACCAUAAACUAUGCCGACUAGGGAUCGGAUGAUGUUAAUUUUUUAAUGACUCAUUCGGCGCCUUACGGGAAACCAAAGUGUUUGGGUUC
rnacentral:rRNA from 1 species